GUCGGAGUGGCGGAAUGGCAGACGCGCUAGCUUGAGGGGCUAGUGCCUGAAAGGGCGUGAGGGUUCAAGUCCCUCCUCCGACACCA
rnacentral:tRNA from 1 species